GGAUAUUUUCUUGCUCUCUAUGAAAUAAAUUGUCAAUGUUUGGGAAGCCGUAAGGCAUAAAGCUCAGGAGCCUAUUCAGGAAUCUGAAUGCUAAGGUUGUAAUUGAGGAUGUAGAAACAUCAUUAUAUAUUUGAUUUUAUGUGUAAUUUCCUUCAUCAACAGGUGCUAAGGAAACAGAAGUAAACUCUGGAAUGCCUAAGAGUUUUAAAGCUAAAAGGAAAAAUAAAAGAGUUUUAAAUUUACAAUCAGCUACAUUCCUUGAUUUUAAAGGAAGAGAUUAUUUGCUCCAUCUAUCAUAAUACUAAAGAAGUUAUGAGUUAAGCAUAUGGAUCCCUGCAAGACACUUAUUUUAGUGUGGAGAAAAGAGAGAGAAAGGGAGAGAAGAGUCAUGGACCCUACUUUAUGGUUGCCAUGGAGGCAAGGUCAGCCUUCCACACUUGGAUCUACCAGCAGAGUUCAGACAGGUCAACGUGUGACCGGCUCAGGCCCUGGGGUUAAAAGUUCAAGCAGUGAUGGAAAAACCAAUAUGUCCACGCAGAGUAUGCUGUACAAUUUAUUUCAAUUUACAUCAAGCCAUGCAUAUAAAAUUUAGAUAAAUUCCAUUCAAAUCUGAUGUUGCCUGACACACAAUGUAUGCAAACAGAUGUCUGUGGGGCUUUUUCUGUGCUUUAGAAAACAACAUUAAAUUUAAAAAUAUGUCUCUGGGAUUUCUUUAUUGAAUUACAAAAUGAACAUAAUUUUAACUUAAAUGUUUUCAUUCUUUCUUCCAAUUUUUUUUUUGUGGGGGUCUUAAUAAUUUCUCAGUUCUUAAUCUACUCGAUGUCAUAUUAAAGAGGAUAAUGUAUAUUUACAACUACUGCUUCACUAUUAUUGUAGUUAUAGAUUCUAUUUAUAUCCCUUACUACUUUCCACAAAUAUUUAGUGAUUGAUAUUUCUGAUUUAUCUUCUGCUUCUACCCUCAUCUCCCUUCGUUUCUACUCAAAGCAGAGCAAGGGUCCUGGAGGCUGCUGGGUCAUCUUCCAGCCACAAGGUGGCUCCCCCCUCCCCUUCUCGCAAACCAACCAUGUGUACACCUUUGCUGAGUGUUGGAGGCGGACUAGGAUCCAAGGGAUAAUUAUGACCUAUAAAUACCAUUAUUUUCAUUAUGAACUGAAUGGAUCACAACACAGACCUUGGUACAACAUGACACAAUGCAAACUGGUCUUCAGAAAGAGUAGAAAAAAAAGACUUGGGUGUCCCGCCUAAUUUCUCUUCACUUUUUCCUGCCUAGUUUCUUUCACUUUUUCUCACUCAAACUGGAACCUACAUUUGGAGGAGGAAAGGGGUUUAGAUUUUCUGGUUCUGGUUUCUUUCUGGUUUUCUGGUUUCUUCCCCACAGGAAGUUUUCAUGAGGACUUUGAAGCACUUCCUUAGAUGUCCCACACCAUAGCAUGGAUGAAGAACAGUGAUCUCUAACACUGCAGAGCUUUAAAAGUUGUAGAAAUAGUGCAUAUUUACUUCUUGCUGCUUAGAAACAAGGUCCGUAUUUCAUAAAUGUGAUUUUUACAGAACAUAUCAUAAUUUUCUACAGAUAAAAUAGCACAGAGAGACAAACCAUUCGUCCUAUUUCAUGGAAGGUCUUGCCAAAAGUCUGAGUCCUAAUUUCUUACAUUUUCCAUUUUCUCUUUCGAGAAAAAGCUAUUUGAGCAAGUUUCAUUUUCUUCAUCUGUAAAAUGGAGAUAAAAAUAGGACCUAUUCCUCAUGGAAUUUUUGUCAGGAUUAAAUGAGUUAAUACAUGUAAAGUACUUACGAGAGUCUUUGGUACGUAAUAAGAGCCACAUAAAUGUUUGCUAUUACCAUUAUUAUUUAUUUGAGCUCAGUAUCUCCUUGUUUGCAGGUACUCUGUGACAUGAACAUUUGAGAAAAGUGAACUUUCACAGAUUUUGUAAAGCCACAAAGAGCGUAAUUUUCUAGAUACCUGAAUGCUCUGAUCAGGGAUAAGUUAUGAUGCCUGAGCUUUUUCCCUCUCAAGUGCUUUAAAACAAACAAACAAACAAGCAUUUCUUCCCAAUUCAUGCUAUUGCAUUCAAGAUGACAUUAAAAAAAAUAAACUACUGAUUUCCAACUCUCAAGAUUAUUUUAGAUAAUUUAGCAGUUAAAUCAUUUUACUAAUGCAAAUGACCAUUAGGUGGUGGUUCUAAUAACUUGGUUACAAUAUUCAUAUUGUACAGGUUUUAAUUUUCUUUUUUCACUAUAUUAAAAAAAACCCUGCAGUAUCUUAUUCAUGCCAGAAUAUAACUUUGUUAAGCCUCUUGUUAAACUUAGAACAUGUGAGUCCCCUGCUUCUUAAGCAAAUAAAUGUUUUGAGUUCUCUUGUAAGCACUGCGUUGACAACUCUCAAACAAAUUUUCUAAGGGAACAAAUGAUAUCCUUAACUUAAGGUGACCUAUAAUAAUUCAACCAUGAGCAAAAGUUUAUGUGGACAUAAAAUCCUGCAUUCAUAUAAAUCCUUGUUUGUAUAAGGCAGGAUCUGUAUACAUAGACGUAAAUAUAUAUGUACAUGUCGGUAUGUAUAUAGACACAUAGGUUCACAUGUAUGCCAUCCACAUAUAUUCCAAAUAGAUGGAAAUACAUCUACUUAUUUAGAGACCAAGUGAGAUAAGCAAAUCAAUUUUCAAUAGCCAAGGGAAGGAGUAUGACAUUUUUUAAUACCUGCCAUACUGUCAUGGCAUACUGUCACACUUUAUUCUUUAUUAUCUCUGUCAGCUACUACUAGGUGCCUAGCAGACAAAUGCUAGUCCUAGUCCUGAUCAUUUAUUUCUAUUUGGAAUUAUUUCAAGCCUAACACUUUAGAACUGCUUGAAAAUGCUGUCGUGAUAUGUUGGCCUUGCACCCUGGGGUGAGGGCUGGAAUAAGGGAUGGUGGAGAGGAAUACUCUGCAGAGACAAUUUGGCACCUUUUUUUUUGAGGGAGGCCUGCCUUGGUUUUGUCUGCAUUUGCAGAAAUACAACUUUGAAAGACCCCUUUUCCAUUCUGAGCAGUAUGUAGGUGCUACCAGAAGCAGUGUCUUUUGUUGCCAGAAGCAGUUUUUGCUGCAUGCAUCAACUUUCACUAUAUUCUUAGCAACUCUUUCUUUUAUGCCAGUUUCAGACAUCAGUUAACAGAACCCCUUAAAGAACAGAUGUACUGAAGAAAUGCAUCAAUUCAUUAUUUGUUACAGUUUGGGGGUGUCUGUCCUAUGGGUUUUCUAGCCAAGGGCUUAUAUGUUUCCCAAGAGAAAUUUACUUUCAUGAGAGAAGAAAAUUGAGGCAAAUCACUGCUGUUAGACCCUGAAGUCAGAGACACUGGUUUGUUGUCCUUCUGUACAUGUGAAAAAAAAAAAGCCCACAGUUACAGAAACAGUCAUGUUUCAAUCCAUCUCUCAUUCUUUCCCAGUGUGAAAAAUUACAAUUGAAACCAAAUUUUUCUUUGUCAAUAGAAUGUGUAUGAUUACAGCUGUUCAUAUUUUCACUCUAAUGAAGGGCUGCACAUUUAAUUGUAAGAUUUAUUAGGUACUGUACAUUGCUGUGUAUAUGCAAAACAGUUAAUCGACAUCUAAAAUGCUGGUUGUUUAUUCUGACAUUAAUGAUCAUAUUUCUUAAUUUGAAACAAAAAGCAUUUGGGGAAAAUGUAUUUUUCCUCCAAAUAAGAAAUUAAUACAUUCAAUGUAAGAAAUAAAAAGGGCUGGAGAAAAAAUAUUGAUUUAUAUAUGUGAGGCUGGGGAAAAAAAUAAAGAUGCUUAAAAAAAGGUCCAUAAUCCCCCAUUCUGCUGGAAACAAGAGAGUUGAUUGCCAGCUUUGUUUGAUUUCACAGAGAUCUCAUACGAGGCUGGGUUCAUAAACAGGUGAAAUGAUGGAGUUUAUUGCAACGCACAUCAACACUGAAACUAAAUAACUGUGUUGCCAUCUCAGUCCCGCUGAAAGACGGAUGGUAAACUUGACCUGCCGCUGGUACUAUCCGAUUGCCAUUUUUUAUUCCCCCUUCGCCGCCCCCCAGGCUGAGCCACGUUGAGUAAAUGCAUGUGCACGGUCAGGUCAGGCCCCGGGAUCGGGUGAAACUCGGUUCACAUUUGCAUACAGGCGGAGCCUCACAAUGAAAGCCCAUCUGUUCCCGUCUCGGAGUACAAAUCGAAUGUCACCCAACUCACUGCAAACGACAGCAGCAUGGCCAUUAGAUGGAGGAACACUCAGCUCAGGUUACGGAUAUGGAACUGCUGAUUUGGGUUUAAAUACCUGAUAACUGAAGACUUUUCAUUAUAUGCGAACAAAGAAUGAACUUUGAACUGCUCAGGAGAUACCCUCUCCCUACAUCGGGCACCCUUCCCUAGUUCUAUCCAUUACUAAUACUUAACUGCUAUAUUUUACACUCUAUUUUGGUAUAAAAAUUAGCCAGGCCGAAUGUCACAAUGUCCUAAAUAAUUGCCUUUUUUGGAAGGGGGAAGGGUAAGAAGUGGAGCAGCAGAGGAUGUUGUAAACAGCAAAUGAACUCUGAACUCUAUAUGCCCUCAAAGGUCAUUAGUAUCAUGGCAGUGUUGUUCCUUGAACUUCUAAAUUUUACCAGGGUGGAAAUUUUGGUUGCUAGAGUUUAACCAAAGUGUAAAUUGCCUUGCUUGGCCCUUUAUCCCUCCUUCCCAAAACCAUUCAGUCAAGUGAGUUACUAUCUCCUAGAAUGUUCUUCACUCACGGACCUGUUUAUUCCAAAACAGUUUAUCCCCAAAUAGUUUAUCAAUCACGAUCUGUCAGAGAUUAUUUUUCUGUUAAAACUUGGCAAGUAUCUUAGAGUUUACAGACUGAAAUCACAUACAUUUGGACAUGAAAAAGAUAGACUUAUUCAAGAAGAUAUCCCAUGAUAAUAAGCCCAUCCAAGCAUUGGACAUGAUAAACAUAAUGAAAUUCAUUAGCAAAUAUAUGGGUAGGCUUUGAUCAAACACUUCCCUGUCCUGUUUUGUAGCAAGAGUCUACAACUAUGAAAAUCUAAGGAGGACACAAGCAUCUGGGGUUUGGUUACUUGUGCUUAUAUCUGAAAUAAUUCUGUAUUCUGUCACAUGAAUCAUAUUUAACAUGAGAAUACUGUUUCAGUCAUUAGCUCAGUCUGUUGGAGCCCUGGUGCACCUGUGGUUGCAGGUCCAUCCAUGCACUUAGUACUGCUAUAGAAUAGAGAAAACAGAUUGGCUAGUUUUUUCUUCUUACCAUUUAUGCUUCUUGGUUUCCAGUCAGUAAUAGUGUCACUUGAUGAACUGUAAGUGUAAUACCUGACUGGAUGAAAAACAUUUUGAAAAUAUCUGCAAGAACUUUCUUGAUUUGCUUUAAGCAAUUAUAUACUUAUUUCACUGCAUAUAUUUCUCUUUCUUAAAGCACUUACUAAAACAGUCUUAACUAAUUUAGUGUAUUGGGGUUGCACAUGGAAUCCAGAAUGUUUAAAGGCCACUGGAUCUUAAAGGCUGUGUCUCUUCAGCCAGGGUUUCUUUACCACCAUGUGAAACUAUGUUCUUAUUGUUUGUCCUUUUAAAAUUAAACCAUGGUAAAGAAAAGAUUUGAGAGCUUUUUCUUUUUUCAUCUCAUGCAAGAGCUUACGGUCAACCUUAAUGGAAGUUCUACAUGCAUUAACAGGGAGAAUAGACCCUUUGUUUCAGAAGAAUAACCAAGACAAGGGUGAAUUUUGGUUCCACUUUGUCAAGUUUAAGGGGAAACUGAAUUCAGGAAGAGAGAGAGAAAGAGUGAGAGAAGGAGAGAGAGAAAGGGGGCCCCAAAUAACUUUCUUAGCUGUCUUCCCAUUGCCUCUAAUCCUAAACUUAAAAUGUUUUGUUGUUAAAUAUUAAAAUAUUUUAUUGUAAACAAGUCAGGAAUUUGCAUGCGGGGCCACGUGGCCACGUGAUCUCUUGGAGAUGGCCUGCUUGUUUGCACUCCAUGCAGCUGGACGGCUUGUGUAUGAUCAGCAACAAAGCAGAAAGGUAUCACAACAAGCAAGGAAAUAUAAUACUAGAGGUAUUCUUUCUGUCCAUGUCAGGAGAAAAUGCCCUAUUAAGGGGGUAUAACUUAUUUAAUUCUACAACCCUGAAGGGAUAUGAAUGAGAAAGAUUUUGCUUAUUUCAAAAUGAUAAAAUAACUUGUUUAGAGAAAUACUGGUUUCUUAUUAUGCACUAUUGGUAGGGAUGUGUGAAUAGGAACCGAACCUUGAACUUAAUUUCCCCUUUGAACUCAUGACCUUUGACAAGAUUCCCCAUGCGUUCCCCUUCAGACAAAUUUCAUCACAAUUACAGUCCCUUCCACUUGAGUUAAAGAUAUAUAAUCAUUGAUUUGACCUAAUUACCUGAUACAUCCCUUUCUUUGCAAGGUGAAAGCUAAAUGUGUGAACAGAAGCUGACCCGUGAAGUUCUGAUAACUAAUUUUUAUCCUAAUUAUCAUAAAACACUUUCAGUCUUACUCUAUUUUUCUCAAGUUUUCUUUUGGCCCCUUCCCUGAACCCACUAUUCCUUCAAAUUCAACAAUGCCCUGUAGGUUUCAAGCUGCUUGGCAACAGACCUUCAAAUGCAUUAUGCACUACAUGUUCAAAGUGUCAUUUUUAAACAAAAAAACUAAAGACUGACUCUGCAUUAGAAAGUCCUCACUAAUCCCUGUCUUUCAUGAAAAAGUCUUCUGAGGAGAUAAAAGAGUGGAAACUAGAAAGUUCCCACAAGAUUCUGAAAUUAUCUGACUUAUUAGCAUCAAUCUAUUAUGAAUCUGACUCUCUUCUAAUAAUUUACAAACUUCAGGUUAUAAAGCGGGCACAGGCAAUAUCAAUAGAGUUAGUAUGAUCAAUUUAAACUAUGGGGCAUUGUCUUCUUUAAAGAGAAUGUGUGUGUAUUUGGGGCGGGGGGCGGCAGGAGAUGUCCACUAAGUUUAGUGCAAUAAAUCUCAAAGAUCUUAUAAGAAAGUUUAAAUCAUGGAAUACACUAAAAAAAUUAAAUAUGUGAUUUAAAAGCAAAACUAAGAGUUAACAGAAACUAUAUAAAUUGAAUAUAUAUGGAUUUGUAUCUACAACUUAUUUAAAUAAUAAAAAUAAACUGAAACUGCAGUUUUCAUUAUCUUGUCUUAGACAAUUAAAAAAUUAAGAUGAACUGCAAAAAGUUAAACAGCAAAGAAUAAACAAAGAAGAGAUUAUUUUUACUUCUUUAUGUCAUAGUUUAUAUUCAGGGACAUCAUGUUCUCUCAGAAAGGAAAUGACAGUCAAUUUUCCUUUAUGUCACAAUCACUCCAAAAGUUAACAGGCAUUACGAGUGGAAGGGGACAAAAGGUCUGGAAAAAACACACCUAUGAAGUCGAAUCACCUGUUCUUUUUGCUGGAGCUACUUAUGUCCUCUCUUACAAAAAAUUAAACAACACUGAAAGAAAAAGAAUCCUUCACCUGAUCACCAUGGUAGAUCAGCAUCUGAGUUUCACUCUCAGCAAUUCGCUUUUUUUUUUUUACAUUUUGAAACCAAAGACCUCAGCAAACAGGAAAAGAAAAAAAAAAAAAAAAAAGGAUGCGGACAAACUUUCUAAGGAGGAAAUUAUCACAGUGUGCACAGAGGCAAAUCUUUAAAAGAUUAACUUUUUAUGAUGUCAAGUAUAACUAGGAUUGCACAGACAUUACAAAAUAAGCUGGAAGGUUGCCACGAUGCUGGGCCAUUAAGUAGAGUUUCUAGAGGGGGCAGGUCAAAUCUACUUCUCCUUGGGAGAGAACUUGAGGCAUACUUGAAAAAAUGCCUGAUUUCUACUCCUACUGCUGCCCAAGGGCUUGAGGUAUAACCAAAAAAGUACAGAAGAGUGUCACAGAACUUCCUUGAUAAAAGCAACAUAUAGCUGGAUGGCUGGGAUCCAAGUUAAAAGUCACCUCAUUUAUUUAUAAAAAUGUUGCUUCUAAUUUUUGUUUCACUAUCACAAGGACCUUUAUCAAUAUAUGCUAAUAUUGAUAUAUUAGGCAACACUCCAGGAAAUAGAAAAUUGGGUACUCGUGCUGUGACAGAAAUAAUGGAUUUGGCAUUAUUCUGAAGCUCUGGAUAGAUAGUUCAUGGUCAAAAAUGUGUCAUGGGCAGCAAAAUAUAACUAAAAGGAACUGUGCUCACUUGCAGGUCAGAAUACUAGACUUGAGGGGUAAAUUAAAAAUGUGGCCUCAUAUACUAAUUUUAGAAUUGACACAAGCAGGGAUAGAAAUGCUGGAGUAAAAUGUUCAGAAAAAAAAAGGAAAAUGUUAUAUCCCUAGGGUGGGAGGGUACUGUGAAAUGAUCCUCUACAGUUGAGAUGCUUAAUGUGGUAUCUGUGAAUGCUCUGAAAUUAUAUGCAAAUGUGUGUGUGUGUGCUUGCCUGUGCAUGCUCAUUUUUAUGGCAAGAAGACCCACUGCUAUAUAGUGAUAAGAAAAGGAAUAAAAGUGCACAAAAAAUGAUGAUUAUAUUUCUAAAGAAAAGAUGUCGGAAGCCAACAACAGUCACCAUCAUUGCUCAUUUAAAACAGUGGUUCUUAAACUUUUUGAAACUGACUGCUCAUUACAAGCAUGUAAAUUUUUUAUUAGACACAAAAAUAUUGACAUUUAUGUAUAAAUUAUAUACGUAUACUACCACUAAUCCAUUAACAUUAGAAAAGCUUAACUUCACACAUAGACAUGGAGCUUAACUUCUAAUCUUUUUUUCCCAUCCUAGUACAGCUCACUCUGGUCUCUCCCUUCUUCCACUCCUAGGUCCCUUAUCGUCAAUUCUACAAAGAGUAAUUAGAGAAAUCUUUUAGUUUUAUAAUUUAGACCAUGCAAAUCUCCAGUUGGAACUCACUAGUUGUUUUCCAUGAUGUGCAAAAUAAAAUCCAAAUACCUUACUAUGACUUAAAAAGCCCUCCAGGAUUUAGUUCCUUCUGCCUCUUCGACCUCACUUCUCACUCAUUUGGCCCUAGCCAUGCAGGUUUCUUAAUUAUUUGAACUCUUCAAGAUGGUUUCUAUCUCAAAGCCUUUGCACCUGCUGCUCCUUCUGCCUGGAAUGCUCCUCCUUCAGAUCCCUGCCCAGUUUGAUCUCACUUCAUUCAGGUCUCUGCUCAGUGGUCCCCUCUGAGCACUACCUCAAAGAAUACCACUGCCACCCUUUUCUAGUCACUUUUGUUCUCUGUGUCCUCUGGUCUUUUUGGUUUGGUUUUGUUUCAGAGCAUUCAUCAUGGCCUGACAUCAUGCUAUAUAUCUCCCCUAGUAAAAUGGAAGCUCCAUGUGGGAAGAGAUUUUGCCAGUUUCAUCUCUGUCCCCAGCAACCUGGUCUAAGGUCUAGCACACCACAGGUCCCCAAUGAUAAAUGAAUGAAGAACAGUCAAAGCAACUGACAGAUAUUCCAUCUGCUAUUCAUUUGAAAAUAAACCUCAAGGAGUUCCCGUCGUGGCACAGUGGUUAACGAAUCUGACUAGGAACCAUGAGGUUGCGGGUUCGAUCCCUGGCCUUGCUCUAUGGGUUAAGGGUCCAGCAUUGCCGUGAGCUGUGGUGUGGGUUGCAGAUGUGGCUUGAAUCCCAUGUUGCUGUGGCUGCGGCGUAGGCUGGCAGCUGUGGCUCUGGUUGGGUCUCUAGCCUGGGAACCUCUGCAUGCUGCAAGUGUGGCCCCAAAAAG